ACUCAAAGGAAUUGACGGGAGCUCGCACAAGCGGUGGAGCAUGUGGUUCAAUUCGAUGACAACCGAGGAACCUCACCAGGGUUUGAAAUGUUUGCAAAAACCAGAUGAAAAUUUGGUGUGUUCACAAGACGGCAAACACAGGUGCUGCAUGGUCCUCGUCAGUUCGUGGCUUGAGCUGUUCCCUUAAGUGGGUUAACGAACGCAACCCUUGUUGCCUGUUAUAUGUGUCAGGCGAGACUGCUUCCUAUUCGGGAGAGGAAGGAGGGGAUGACGCGAGAUCAGCAUGGCCCUUUGAUACCCUGGGCUACACACGUGCUACAAUGCCGCAGACAAUGGGUUGCCAAACCGAAAGGUGGAGCUAAUCCCAUCAAACUGCGGCCCAGUUCAGAUUGAAGUCUGCAACUCGACUUCAUGAAGUCGGAAUCGCUAGUAAUCGCGGAUCAGCUAUGCCGCGGUGAAUACGUUCUCGAGCUUUGUACACACCGCCCGU
rnacentral:rRNA from 1 species